rnacentral:tRNA from 3 species
GGCCUGGUAGCCAAGCGGUAAGGCAACAGUUUGCAAAACUGUCAUGCACCGGUUCAAAUCCGGUCCAGGCCUCAA